rnacentral:rRNA from 1 species
UCGAGCGCCCCGCAAGGUGAGCGGCAGACGGGAGAGUAACACGUGGGAACGUGCCCUUUGGUUCGGAACAACACAGGGAAACUUGUGCUGAUACCGGAUAAGUCCGUAAGGAGAAAGAUUUAUCGCCAAAGGAUCGGCCCGCGUCUGAUUAGCUUGUUGGUGAGGUAACGGCUCACCAAGGCGACGAUCAGUAGCUGGUCUGAGAGGAUGAUCAGCCUCACUGGGACUGAGACACGGCCCCGACUCCUACGGGAGGCAGCAGUGGGGAACAUUGGACAAUGGGCGAAAGCCUGAUCCAGCCAUGCCGCGUGGAUGAUGAAGGCCCUAGGGUUGUAAAGUCCUUUCGGCGGGGAAGAUAAUGACGGUACCCGCAGAAGAAGCCCCGGCUAACUUCGUGCCAGCAGCCGCGGUAAUACGAAGGGGGCUAGCGUUGCUCGGAAUCACUGGGCGUAAGCGCACGUAGGCGGCUUUCUAAGUCAGAGGUAAAAUCCUGGAGCUCAACUCCAGAACUGCCUUUGAUACUGGAGAGCUUGAGUCCGGGAGAGGUGAGUGGAACUGCGAGUGUAGAGGUGAAAUUCGUAGAUAUUCGCAAGAACACCAGUGGCGAAGGCGGCUCACUGGCCCGGUACUGACGCUGAGGUGCGAAAGCGUGGGGAGCAAACAGGAUUAGAUACCCUGGUAGUCCACGCCGUAAACGAUGGAUGCUAGCCGUUGUCGGGUUUACCCGUCAGUGGCGCAGCUAACGCAUUAAGCAUCCCGCCUGGGGAGUACGGUCGCAAGAUUAAAACUCAAAGGGAAUUGACGGGGGCCCGCACAAGCGGUGGAGCAUGUGG